rnacentral:rRNA from 1 species
AUAGUUGGUAAGGUAAUGGCUUACCAAGUCAAUGAUCCUUAGCUAGUCUGGGAUGGACGAAUAGCCACACUGAAACUGAGACAAGGUUCAGACUUCUAUGGAAGGCAGCAGUGUGGAAUAUUGGACACUGAGCGAAAGCUUGAUCCAGCAAUACUUCGUGUGUGAUCAGAAGAAUAGGAGACUAUUUGUAAAGCACUAUCAGUAAAAACGAAAUUGACUAUAUUUACAGAAGAAGCUCCGGCAAAUUUCGUGCCAGCAGCCGCGGUAAUACGAAAGGAGCAGGUGUUAUUCAGAUUAACUGGGCGUAAAGGGCACGUAGGUGGUUUAUACUGUAUAUUGUAAAAUUGUAAAGCAUAACUUUAUAAAGCAAUAUAAACAUAUUUAAACUUGAGUUAGGCAGAGGGUAGUAGAAUUUCUAAUGUAAAGGUGAAAUUUGAUAAAAUUAGAGAGAAUACCGAUGGCGUAGGCAACUAUCCAGGCCUUAACUGACAUUGAGGUGCGAAAGUAUGGGGAGCAAAUAGGAUUAGAUACCCUAGUAGUCCAUACCGUAAACGAUGAAUAUUAAAUGUUGGGAUUAGUUCUCAGUAUUACAGCUAACGCGUUAAAUAUUC